AAGUUUUGCAAAGGAGAUGGCAAUUAGACAAAGGGACAAGUUGAAUCCUAUCGUUUGGUGGGAAAAACAUGGAAGCUCUACACCUGAGCUUACAAAGCUUGCAAGGCGCUUACUUGGCCUUUGUUGCUCAUCCUCUGGUUGUGAGCGCAAUUGGAGCAUAUUUGAGUUUAUUCACACCAAGAAGAGGAAUAGGUUAG